AUUCGGCUAACUUCGAUGCCAGCCAAGCCGGCGGUAAUACGGAGAGAUGCCAGCGUUUUCCGGGAAUGAUUUGGGCGUAAAAGCACGUCCGCCAGGUGGCCUUGUAAGUCUGCUGUGAAGCAGAGCGAGGCUCAACUUUGUAAAGGGCAGUGGAAACUACAGGGCUAGAGUGCGUUCGGGGACAGAGGGAAUUCCUGGUGUAGCGGUGAAAUGCGUAGAGAUCAGGAAGAACACCACGGUGGCGAAGGCGCUCUGCUAGGCCGUAACUGACACUGAGGGACGAAAGCUAGGGGAGCGAAUGGGAUUAGAUACCCCAGUAGUCCCUAGCUGUAAACGAUGGAUACUAGGCUUGGUAUCGACCCGAGCCGUGCCGUAGCUAACGCG
rnacentral:rRNA from 1 species